GGGAGUUUAGCUCAGCUGGGAGAGCAUCUGCCUUACAAGCAGGAGGUCAUAGGUUCGAGCCCUAUAACUCCCACCA
rnacentral:tRNA from 2 species